rnacentral:rRNA from 1 species
CAGCCGCCACGGUAAUACAGAGGGUGCGAGCGUUAAUCGGAUUUACUGGGCGUAAAGCGUGCGUAGGCGGCUUUUUAAGUCGGAUGUGAAAUCCCUGAGCUUAACUUAGGAAUUGCAUUCGAUACUGGGAGGCUAGAGUAUGGGAGAGGAUGGUAGAAUUCCAGGUGUAGCGGUGAAAUGCGUAGAGAUCUGGAGGAAUACCGAUGGCGAAGGCAGCCAUCUGGCCUAAUACUGACGCUGAGGUACGAAAGCAUGGGGAGCAAACAGGAUUAGAUACCCCGGUAGUCCCUGUCUCUUAUAC